AUCGUUCAUCUUUUGGUAGUCUUCUAAUCCUCGAAUAUCAAAAAGACUACUAGAAGACGGAAGUAGGGAGUUCUCCCGAAGGAACGCGCC
rnacentral:ncRNA from 2 species